UACGUAGGAGACGAGCGUUGUCCGGAUUUAUUGGGCGUAAAGAGCUCGUAGGCGGUUUGGUAAGUCGGGUGUGAAAUCUCCACGCUCAACGUGGAGGGGCCACUCGAUACUGCCAUGACUCGAGUCCGGUAGAGGAGUGUGGAAUUCCCGGUGUAGCGGUGAAAUGCGCAGAUAUCGGGAAGAACAUCGGUGGCGAAAGCGCUCUACUGGACGGUAUCUGACACUGAGGGACGAAAGCUAGGGGAGCGAAUGGG
rnacentral:rRNA from 1 species